rnacentral:rRNA from 1 species
UAGGGAAUCUUCGGCAAUGGGGGCAACCCUGACCGAGCAACGCCGCGUGAGUGAAGAAGGUUUCGGAUCGUAAAGCUCUGUUGUAAGAGAAGAACGUGUGUGAGAGCGGAAAGUUCACACAGUGACGGUAACUUACCAGAAAGGGACGGCUAACUACGUGCCAC